rnacentral:rRNA from 1 species
ACAUCCAGAGAACUUAGCAGAGAUGCUUUGGUGCCUUCGGGAACUCUGAGGACAGGUGCUGCAUGGCUGUCGUCAGCUCGUGUUGUGAAAUGUUGGGUUAAGUCCCGCAACGAGCGCAACCCUUAUCCUUUGUUGCCAGCGGUUCGGCCGGGAACUCAAAGGAGACUGCCGGUGAUAAACCGGAGGAAGGUGGGGAUGACGUCAAGUCAUCAUGGCCCUUACGGCCAGGGCUACACACGUGCUACAAUGGCGCAUACAAAGAGAAGCGACCUCGCGAGAGCAAGCGGACCUCAUAAAGUGCGUCGUAGUCCGGAUUGGAGUCUGCAACUCGACUCCAUGAAGUCGGAAUCGCUAGUAAUCGUAGAUCAGAAUGCUACGGUGAAUACGUUCCCGGGCCUUGUACACACCGCCCGUCACACCAUGGGAGUGGGUUGCAAAAGAAGUAGGUAGCUUAACCUUCGGGAGGGCGCUUACCACUUUGUGAUUCAUGACUGGGGUGAAGUCGUAACAAGGUAAGCGUAGUGCU